rnacentral:rRNA from 1 species
UAGUUGGUGAGGUAAGAGCCCACCAAGGCAGAGAUCGGUAGCCGGCCUGAGAGGGCACACGGCCACACUGGCACUGAAACACGGGCCAGACGCCUACGGGAGGCAGCAGUGGGGAAUCUUGCACAAUGGGGGAAACCCUGAUGCAGCGACGCCGCGUGAGCGAUGAAGCCCUUCGGGGUGUAAAGCUCUUUCGUCAGGGAAGAUAGUGACGGUACCUGGAGAAGCAGCUGCGGCUAACUACGUGCCAGCAGCCGCGGUAAUACGUAGGCAGCAAGCGUUGUUCGGAGUUACUGGGCGUAAAGGGUGUGUAGGCGGUUCUUUAAGUUUGGUGUGAAAUCUCCCGGCUCAACCGGGAGGGUGCGCCGAAUACUGAGGGACUAGAGUGUGGGAGAGGAAAGUGGAAUUCCUGGUGUAGCGGUGAAAUGCGUAGAUAUCAGGAGGAACACCGGUGGUGUAGACGGCUUUCUGGACCAUAACUGACGCUGAGACACGAAAGCGUGGGUAGCAAACAGGAUUAGAUACCCUGGUAGUCCACGCCCUAAACGAUGCAUAUUUGGUGUGGGUCAUUCAGUUGAUCCGUGCCGGAGCUAACGCGUUAAAUAUGCCGCCUGGGGAGUACAGUCGCAAGGCUGAAACUCAAAGGAAUUGACG